UUGUCCUUGUUUAGGACUUCUUAAAAGGAGGCAAAGCCACACAAAACGUUCAGUUCUCCACAGAGAGCUAGCCUGUAACGAAGGUUUCGCUUAUCGCGGAAUAGUGGCCGUUCGAAGGAAGAUAUCUAAUUAAAGGGAAAACUCAAGCGCGUCAAGAAAGCUAUGGAGGCGAAGCUUUGUUUGAUCCUGAUGUUGAUUAUUUUGGGGACCCUUACCGUACAAGGAGCAAACCCUAGAAAGGAGAGGAAGAGCGCCUGGGAAGUGUUUGCCAGGCAACCUGAAUGCUUUGCCAAUGGUGGACACUGUACUGCUGUUCUGCCCUGCUUUGCGAUAGGUUUUCAUUACUGCCCGCAAUACUUCUGUCGGGAUCCCCGUUCACCGUAUUGCUGCUGCAAUCACUGAAAAGCAACUGAUGUUGGCAAUGGUGUCUCAUCAAUGGAAUGACGGCUUAAACUUAGAAACAAAAUCAUUAUAGUUGGUAAAAUAAAGGCUAAAGAAGUGAUCGAAUACAUGUGGGUAAUGAGUAAAUUCGGGUACUCUUAAAACGUUAACGUAAAUAAAAGCUGAAUCAUUCAAGGACA